rnacentral:lncRNA from 1 species
ACGGAAGCCAAAGUUUUGACAAUAAAAAACAUUGAGAGAUGUGUAAACCAUACGAAGCCAUAGCCUUUAGAUAAUGCAAGAUGUUUUUAACAAUCGCCAAUGAGAACUUAUUCAAGGCAUAAAAGGCCAAGUCUGGUAAAAAUAAGAUAUUGUAGAGUAUCAACAAUAUAUCAAUACUAUGUGGAAUUAUUAGAGCACGAAGCACUAGACACCAUGAUUAACUUUGAUGAGGAAGAUGAAAAAGGAUCCACUAGUUUACAAUAAGACAUAAUUGGUUGGUGGAGAAUAUUCAGAGCAUUCUUUUGUUGACUAAGCAAGUUACCCAUAGAAGUAGACUUCACCUUAAUGCCCUAUGAGAAUGGAUAACUUUCAAGCAGCUUUAUCUCAUUAUGGCCUUCAAGAAGUAUGUUAAAACAUGGCACUCUUGUCAUCUUAACCUUAUUAGACACUUACCUUGUAACCUUGGAGGCCAUGCAGGCUGGAUGCAUUGAGGUCUGCUGGAUACCAAUCACCCUUUUUUGUAUCUAUCAGAGGCCACAUGAGACCCCAUGAAAGAAUUCCUCCAAGCAAUACUGAUACGUUUAUGAUGUAUGGGCAAAUCAUUCCAACUCGAACAUAUGUUGCUGAGAAAUCAAAGAAGAAUCUGUACAUGUAGCAAGAACAAUAUUAUUAAGAGAAACCACAACUAAUUUGAAACAAAGCGCCCUAAUAAAUGUAUCUACAUUCAAAAAGACAUGAAUUUUUUUAAAAUAACGCAUUUACUGGUUUUCAUAUGCUUUAAGCCCAAGUGAGGGAAAGCUAGCAAAUCCACAACCAUCUCCUACAGUAUAGAACCAUUGAAAGACACCCCACAAGAAGCUGAAUGAGAAGAACUUGCCCAAGACCUUCACUUGUUUCCUGCAAUGGUAGAAAAAGAAAGUUGGAUACUUUCACAUGUCGGAUGAUCAUUUAACUAUAAGUGCAUUAGGUCUGACAAUGCCUUACUUUGCUAGCUUGGCUCCUGCAGGAGUGUGAAAGCUGUUGAUGAGAUGAGCAGUCGCGGUGCCAACAUGAUUGAAAGUAGCUUUAUCUCAUUAUGGCCUUGCCUUGUGAGAAGGUUUUCAAGACUCUAAAAAGAAAGCAAAAGUUUUUUCUGUAUCUAUUUUUUUUAUAAAUUUAUUACAAGCUAAAAUAAAAUGAAAUUUUUUAAUAUCUUUGCAUAGUAAAUAUUAUAAAGAGAAGAACCGAGAAAGACAGGGAACUGGCGGGAAAAAAAAACCAGGAGACAGGACGAGAGAAAAAAAAACUGGGAAAGGAAGAACUGAGAAAAAUCGAGGAGCAGAAAAUAGAAACCCAGAGAGCAGAGAGAAACCGAACAGAGCACAGAACAAAACAAAAAAAAAACCGAAAGAAAAGAGAAAUCAAAGAGCAACACAGAGAGGGGUUUAGUUUUUGCCAUUGUUUUCGUCCCUGCAGAAAAACCUAGAAUCAACAACCAAUUCACAGCGGGCCGGCCUCUCCAUCGUCUUCUUGGUUUCAAAAGUCGCUGAGAAAAACGAAGAGGCAACGUAGAAAAGUGAGCACAGAAGGAGACAAGCAGAAGGGAACAACAUAAGCAGAGGAAAGCCACCGUGACCAGAACCAGUGUUCCUGCUGCCUUCUGUGUUUCCAGAACCAGGUAAGUAAGCUUCUCUUUCCCCGCUUUUCAUUUUAAUUCACUUUCUUUGCUUGCUCAUGCACGCGUGAUUUAGUUCACGCGUGCUUCAUUAACUCAGCCGGGCCACUGGUUAUUGUUAACGUUUAAAAAUUCUAAUAAAUCAAAAAUUCAAUUCCUAAUAAAUUUAAUAUUAACGUUUAAAAAUGAAAAAAACAAAAAAUAAAUACAUGUUAUUGUUCCGAUGAACAAUAAUGCGAGGAGGGGAACAAUGAUUUUCCCUCCUCGGCUACUUCUUGUUAAUGAUUAGAACAGAUUAAUUUAAUUUACCCCUAAUUUGUUUCUCUUAUAUUUUAUUUAAGUUAGUUCUAUUUCUUUAUAGAAACAAAAAUCUUUUGUUAUUAGCAAUGAUAAUUAAUCUCGAAGAUAAAAUAAAUGAAAAUAUACUAGAUAGCACCCACUGUCAAAAUAUUUACAUACUGUUACAUUCUAAAUUAAUCAAGGAGGUUAUGAAGUAGUCAGGGUCAAGGAUAAGAAAGACGAACAUGGUAAUGGGUUCAUUUGGCGUUUGAUCUUGUUCGUAGCUUUCCAUUCUGGAGAGCUCACGGACUUGCACGUAGUGUUCCUCAUUAAAUUAGUUAUUGGGAGUGAGUUUGGUAUUACGAUGGAUUAUGUUUUAAAAAAAAAAGAAUUUAAAAAUAGAUUAAAAUUUUAUUUUAUUUUUAAGAUGAACACAUUAAAAUCAUUAGAAAACACUAAAAAAUAAUAUUAAUUUGUUGUUUUUUCAAGCCAAAUACAUCAAAACACACGCUGUCCAUAACAGGCACUUCAGUGAAGAAGUGAUGGUAUUUGUGUACUCACUGAAUAUUGAUUGAGAUUAUCAUGUAUCAGGAGCAGUGAAAAUACUUGAAGUGCAUGCAAAAUGUUGACAAACUCCUCCUUAAACAACUCGCUUCCCCUUACUAAGUGUUCUGUGGAAUCUGAAAACAAGCUGUUUCAUCGACAAGAACAAAUAUCAAACCCAAGCACAUGCAUUCUUGCGAAGCAUAUAUCAAAUCCUAACUGUUGAUGAGAUGCUAGAUCUGAAGAACACCAGAACAUUUUGCUGGAUGCCAGCAUGUGUGGCUUCAGUUCAAGCACAUUUAUUGACCUAUGUAAGCAUGUUUUUCGAUACAAGGGGAACGAGUUUCGCAUCCUCGCCAUGAGCACUAUCAUGGCUAAACCACAGUGUAAGUGCAAGUCUCUCCCCUUCAGUUAUCUGUGAAAGAAAAUUGAUAAAUUAUAGUAGAAAACAAUGAAAAAAAAAAAAAAAGUAGCUGAGACUUUACCUAGCAUAAAUUUGGUAGCAGAAGGGAACAUUACAGAAAAACAAAGAGUUCAUGAAUGGUAAAUACACAUUGGUCACAAAAUAAACUCUACAUGAAUCUACGUGCAGCGAGAUGCAGAGCUACUAGCAUAUGCUGUUGGGAAAUGAUUCACAGAUGGAAGAAAUAACAGGAAUAGCAACCUAGAGUGUUCAACAAUGACCACCCACCACAGCACUUGAAUUGUUUGAAUUCAUCCCCAGCUCAACAUCCAAGCAAACAUAAAAAAAUAUCAGAAGCAGAAGCAAAAAAAUAGAGCAGUGAAUGCAAGCACAGCCAGUAUGGACUCUGGACAGCACUGAUUCUGGCUUUACAGAUAUUUGCAAAGAGGUCUUGGGUGUGAUUUUGGAGGAUCAUAUAUGAACAAGGAAGAACAAAUCAACAAAUACAACCGCAAUCUGUUCAAAAUCGACAUGACUUUAACCUGUAACAUUUCCACACUCACUUUUGAUAUUAUGAUUAAAGUUUACAAAGGAAACUGUAAUUUUCCAUUUUCACAUUGUUUGAUUCAUCUGUUCCACUAUCUUCUUCAAACUUGACAAGGAAAAAAAACUACAAGCAUCUUUCCAAGGAUUGACUACCAAGCAUGUAUAAGCAAAUGAACAUUGCUUUUUCUUCUCCAGAAUGACUAUAGAGAAAAAGGCUAUUGGCUCCACAAAAUGGCAGGUUACUGUUCACAGUAUUGGAAGAGUCGAACUUGAUAUGUAAACUUCAUAACCUUAGUCUAGGAAGCAGUUCAGCUUACUUCACAGCUUCUAUUCAAGUUGAUCAGAUCUUGGAUUUAUGACCCUAAGAAUGCAUCAACCUUGCUAUUUGUUCCCCUUGACAAAAACUUCAUGCAAAUGGGUGGUUUUACACCUGCUAGAGCAAGUAUUGAACUAGGCAAAGUCCAUAUCCCAUCCCCACAAAUCAAACCAGAAGCCACUGCUGGCCCAAAAGAAUCUGCCUUCACCUUGUCAAUCUUUUCCCAAAUAAAUAGAAUCAAGCUUCCCAGACACAUGUCGAUGGCAAAGUAUGAGCCAAUAUAGAAAGGUAUAGCCAUUGCCAUUGGAUUGGGAAUGAACCUAGCCCAUUUCUUACCCAAUGCAUCCUUGAUCAAAUUUAUCAGAAUAGCAGCACCAAAGAAUCCAUAACAAAGAUAGAGGCAAUUCUUUGGUAGAGCCGAGAAGCCUUCUACCCCCAAUAUAGCCAUGUUUCGAUACACGGUAGCAUAAGGAGCAGGGUAUUGACUUCCAGUAGUCCCAAGAUCCUUGAAGGCCUUGAAAAAGAGCCAAAAGACACUAGGGGAAAUUACGCAACCCAUUGCAGUGCCAAUCAGUUGGCUCACAAACAUAGACCGUGGUGAGGACAAGGUUAGAUAACCAGUCUUGAAAUCUUGAGAGAGGUCAGAAGCCGUGGAGACUAUAUUCAUCAUGACUCCACAGGCAGCUAGACCUGCAAGAACUCCACCAUAUGAGGCACCAGCCCAUGCCCCAAUUACAAAAAUAGCAAGCUUCCCAUAGGUUGAUGCAAGGGACCAAUCAGUGAGGCCACAUCCAUAAGCAUUACAAAAUGCCAGGGCUGGGGCAAAGAUGUAGAUGACCAGUAUGUAAUACCAUUUGAGUUCAUGAAAAAUAUGUGGAAGUGUGGCGGUAGAGAUGGCAGCAAUCGCGACAUAGCCUGCAAUAGAAAACCAUGUUGGGAUUUGAUCUUUCAGAAAGAGUCGGGUUCGUUGUUGCUCAUCAUAGGAGAUCAUGGAGCUCUCGGGAGAGGAACGGUCAGCAAUAGGGAGAUUACUGGUUGCAUUUCUCACUCGAAGUUGAAAAAACAAGGCAGCAAGCGUUCGGCUUAGCACCUUGAAGAAGUUGUACAGACCAUCACCCAAGAUCAAGGCAAUGGCAAUAAAUACCUGGUCCAUCACAUAAAGUGUUGGUACAUACAAAGCCUUCAAGAAGUAUGUUAAAACAUGGCACAUUUGUCAUCUUAACCUUAUUAGACACUUACCUUGUAACCUUGGAGGCCAUGCAGGCUAGAUGCUUUGAGGUCUGCUGGAUACCAAUCACCCUUUUUUGUAUCUAUCAGAGGCCACAUGAGACCCCAUGAAAGAAUUCCUCCAAGCAAUACUGAUACGUUUAUGAUGUAUGGGCAAAUCAUUCCAACUCCAACAUAU